UCCUCAGCUCUUCCUCGCCUUUCUCUCUCCUCAGCUCUUUGUUCACCGCCUACUCAAAUUAUGUUUUGAUUAUGUACUUGAGACCCACUUUGGAAUAGUUUGGAGGACGAGAUUGUGAUUGAGAGAGAAACAGACACUGAAAUCUAGAGAGAGAAAAUGGGUAUAAAUGGAGUUUGGAAGAAAUGGAGAGAGAAAGUGAUAA
rnacentral:lncRNA from 1 species